rnacentral:lncRNA from 1 species
UUUACAGCAUUUAAAACUUCUAGAAAUCAAAUUUUAUAAUUUUUCGACAUCAUUUACCUUACGAUCAAGAGGUCACAAAUUUGACAAUUUUUAAUGGCCGGUAUGGGAUACUUGCUUGUUUAACGGUGUAAAAGAAUCAGAAUUUGUUGAAUUUUUGAUAGAAAAUUCUAUUCACUACCUAGAUAAAGAUCAAUAACUCCGAUCUUGAAUUGAAGGAUCCGAUCAUCCUUUUUUAGGACGUCGUUCGAUUUUGACCGUUCAUUUUAUGCCCGCUUGAUGGAAUUUAUUAUGAUUCGAAAAUUUACGAAAUAUAUUUUUUAGAAGUUUCAAAUACUCUAAAUUAUAUUUAACGGAGUGGAUUGUCGAUUCGGAAACUCCAUCAUCGAAAACAACUUAUGAGUACAAGGGCUCCAAUACUCAUAAUAGUAUAGUAGCCACGGCCUGUAUUUAUAUACAUAUAUAUAUAUACAUAUUUAUAUGUAUAUAUAUAUAUAUAUAUACAUAU